CUGCGAAUGGCUCAUUAAAUCAGUUAUCGUUUAUUUGAUAGUACCUUACUACUUGGAUAACCGUGGUAAUUCUAGAGCUAAUACAUGCUAAAAACCCCGACUUCGGGAGGGGUGUAUUUAUUAGAUAAAAAACCAAUGCCCUUCGGGGCUCUUUGGUGAUUCAUGAUAACUUAACGAAUCGCAUGGCCUUGCGCCGGCGAUGGUUCAUUCAAAUUUCUGCCCUAUUAACUUUCGAUGGUAGGAUAGAGGCCUACCAUGGUAUCAAUGGGUAACGGGGAAUUAGGGUUCUAUUCCGGAGAGGGAGCCUGAGAAACGGCUACCACAUCCAAGGAAGGCAGCAGGCGCGCAAAUUACCCAAUCCCGACACGGGGAGGUAGUGACAAUAAAUACUGAUACAGGGCUCUUUUGGGUCUUGUAAUUGGAAUGAGUACAAUUUAAAUACCUUAACGAGGAACAAUUGGAGGGCAAGUCUGGUGCCAGCAGCCGCGGUAAUUCCAGCUCCAAUAGCGUAUAUUAAAGUUGUUGCAGUUAAAAAGCUCGUAGUUGAACCUUGGGCCUGGCUGGCCGGUCCGCCUCACCGCGUGUACUGGUCCGGCCGGGCCUUUCCUUCUGGGGAUCCGCAUGGCCUUCACUGGCUGUGUCGGGGAACCAGGACUUUUACUUUGAAAAAAUUAGAGUGUUCAAAGCAGGCCUUUGCUCGAAUACAUUAGCAUGGAAUAAUAGAAUAGGACGUGCGGUCCUAUUUUGUUGGUUUCUAGGACCGCCGUAAUGAUUAAUAGGGAUAGUCGGGGGCAUCAGUAUUCAAUUGUCAGAGGUGAAAUUCUUGGAUUUAUUGAAGACUAACUACUGCGAAAGCAUUUGCCAAGGAUGUUUUCAUUAAUCAGUGAACGAAAGUUAGGGGAUCGAAGACGAUCAGAUACCGUCGUAGUCUUAACCGUAAACUAUGCCGACUAGGGAUCGGGCGAUGUUAUUCUUUUGACUCGCUCGGCACCUUACGAGAAAUC
rnacentral:rRNA from 1 species